rnacentral:rRNA from 1 species
AAUGAACGCUGGCGGCGUGCCUAACACAUGCAAGUCGAGCGAGAAAGUCUCUUCGGAGAUAAGUACAGCGGCGGACGGGUGAGUAACGCGUGAGAAUUUACCCUUAGUGAAGAAUACCUCUGAGAAUCAGGGUUAAUACUGCAUACGUCCCUACGGGGAGAAAGGUGGCCUCUUUGCUGCCGCUAAAGGAUAAGCUUGCGUACUAUUAGCUAGUUGGUGAGGUAAAGGCUCACCAAGGCGAUGAUGGUUAGCCGGCCUGAGAGGGUGUACGGCCACACUGGAACUUAGACACGGUCCAGACUCCUACGGGAGGCAGCAGUGAGGAAUAUUGCGCAAUGGGCGAAAGCCUGACGCAGCGACGCCGCGUGGAGGAUGAAGGUCUUCGGAUUGUAAACUCCUGUUAAGUGGGAGAAGACCUAUUUCUAAUACAGAUAGGGGAUGACGGUACCAUUAGAGAAAGCACCGGCUAACUUCGUGCCAGCAGCCGCGGU